GACUCGGAUCUACGCGAUCUCAACGCCCAAACCUUGUCAGAACCGGAAGGUAGCAGCAAUACGGGAUGCUUGUGAUAGGCGUGGUCUCCGAGUCGCCUAGUU
rnacentral:SRP_RNA from 1 species